ensembl:lncRNA
AUGAACCUCCCAGCCUGCUGUAAAGAGAGAUCGCUUCUGCUCCCCUCCACCCCGGCUUCCUCCGUGGGAUGUAGCACUUGGCAUAUCUGGAGAAGAGAUUGGAGCAGUGGACCUGCAUUUUGUCCCGUCACUUUUUUUUUACCAAACCCACUUCUGCCAAACAACAAAGAACUUUGUUUUGUGGACUCUCUUGUAUUUCAAAGAUCCAGUUCUCAGUAUCACGUGAAACGUUUUAAUAAGGACUAUUAUUAUUAUUAUUAUUUUUUUAAAUCUAAAAUGAGUGUGAGUAUGCGAGAGCGAGUGUUUUUGGGGUGUUGCCAUAUUUUAGAUUCCAUGAUACACUGGCUAUGUUCACCUCAGAGGGGCAGGCGGGUUAAGGGUCCUACUGCCCCCCCGAAGGUAUGCAUACAAUGUUGAGCAAUACACUGUUUUUAUUAGUCAGUAUGUCACUAAGUUUUUUCUUUAUUAUUAUAUAUUCCCACAUGUAUACAUUUGAGGACCAUCUGCCCUGGUGCAGCUUUUCUCACCAGGUUCCAAAGAUGAAUGGUCGUGUCUGCCUGUAACAUGUUGAAUGAGGGAUUAACUUUUUAAAGAAAAGUCCACCAGCAGUCCAGAAAUGUGCGUAAUUCCUUUCUGGAAGAAAGCAAAUGGUUAAUUCAGAAUAUACUGCCAUGGAGCUGAAUGCCAAAUUUCAUUGACAUGUACGCUAUCUCCUGACCUAAUAAUACCACAGUUAACCUUUUUUUUUAAUUUUUAUAAUUAUUAUUAUUAGCUGGUGCUCUAGUAGCUUUAGAAUUCUAGAGUUCUGUUCCUAAACUACGAUGUUCGUGCACCAGCUUGAUGUGUAAUAUUGUGGGAUAAUAUUUAGUAAAGAAGCACCAGGAUUCUUUCAGACUGUUUCAUGGAAAGGAAUUGCACAUUAAAUUGUGGAAUGGUGUUUGAUUGUUCAUUUAAUUCCAAAGUAUUACCAAAGGCUUUUUUGGGUUUUAUUUAGUGUUAUUUAAUUCCAUUUUUAAACUUAAUUGAACAGGAUUGAACACUGGAUUGUUUGUGUGUGCGUGCGCUCUUUUUGUAUUCUGUUGUAUUUUGUGCGGUCUUUCAUAUUGUACUGCACCAGACCAUAGCACGAAACGAAAUGCAUCAAGUGUAGUUGUACUUAUUCACAGUGCACAGAGAAUUUCUUUACCGACACGGCGCCUUCAUUAUUAAUUUGUCACAAAAAUAGCAUUAUUGUGUAGCACUCAAAAAAUAAAUAAAAAUCCCUCAUAUUGCAUCCUGUACUGGUAUCAUACAUGCUACACAUGUCUGUUCUUGAGAACUCUUAAGUAAAAGCCCAAAUUUUUCCCCAUGAGACAAUUUAAUUAGCAUGACUCAUUUCUUGAAAAAUUUUUUUUUUUAAAUGUUUGGUAUUAAUCCUGUAACACGUCCCUGUAAUAAUCCAGGUGCAUUUAGCUCGCUGCUUCUGAACGAAGAUAAUUUUGAGGUUCUUUGCAUUGGAGACUGAACUGUUGGAUGUUGAGAAUGUAGGCGUUGUUUUGUCUGCUGUUUAAAACUCCUUUGUACAUCUUGUACUUUUGAAAUCGAAUGUGUAUUGCUUGGUUCGUCGUGAAGUAAUACAGAUAAAUCUCUGCUCACCCCUGUUCAUUUUAAACUGCUUGCUUUGUGAUUCUUCAGUAGAAAGCAUUUUGCCAGUGACCCCUGAGAUUGUUUUUGUAACACUGAGGGUUAAAUACAUCAUUUGCUAGGUGAGUUCAAAUUCCUUUAGCAUUCUUCUCCCUGGAUCUAUAAAUAUAGAAGUGCUUAUCGCAAAUUCCAGACUGGCAGGAGACCCUUGGCGUCUGUAACCAUGUGAAUCGUGUCUAAAGUUCUUCACGUUAAAGACUUGAUAAUAAUAAAAAAAGACUUGAUAAAGCUAUUCCUCAUAAAACUUGACAGUGUCCCUGAUGUCUUCCUGACUGCAAGACUCACCAAUUCCAACAAUUCUGUUGUAGCUUUUUAUUUACAAUAGCAAAAUAUCUGACCACCACCAGGCUUUCAAGAAUAUGGGGAACUGAUUAGAAAUCGCAUUGAAGAGAGAAUUGUGUUAAACCAGACUGACAUGGUGCUCCGUAACACUGAACUCUGUUUUCAGAUAGAUUAGACUGUUGCAAUAUGGAUUCCUGAAGUCACAACUAAAUAAUCACAGCCUUGAGCCUAAAAUCAUAAUGCAAAUUUUCAACUGUCUCCAUCAGACCGUACAUUAUUGAGCCUUCCUAAUUGAUGCAGUUAUAUUAAUAUGAAAAUGAAUACACAUUUUGCUAUUAGUUAGCUCACUUCCUCCUGCUACAGAUUUCUUUUAGUUGUAAUUUUAUCAAUGAACUGCUUUAAUUUUUAAGUAUUGCAUGAAAUUUACUAUUAAUCGCUUUCCUGUGUUCAUGUUCAUGUUCGAGCACAAAUUGUUCAAGUAUUUGCUUGUAUAAAUACCUGUGCUACAUUUAACAACACUACAUAAAUGCUUUAAAUGGAUUUUUUUUAAACAAAGUAAUGGCCCUUUACUAAUAUUUCAAUACCAAUAUAUUUUAAACAACCCCCUGUUGAGAGUCUUCUCUUUUCCUUGUAACAGGAACCACGGCUGCUAAUAAAUAAGAAUUUAAAUUAAAUUCAUUCCUAUUAUAUCCUACUGUACAGUAAUAAUACAUAGUUUUAAUAAGAUUGUAACCUCCUUCUAGGAUCAAUUGGUGUGUAAAUGUAACAUGAGAGUAAAGUUCUGUUCCUUUUCAGCACCUGGAUAUGUUUUUGCUGUUAUGAAUAAGUGUAAAAAUAAUCCACUGUUUCAACAAUUCAGUGUUCAUCUGACUUCGACCCCUGCUGGUUUGGAGGAGCUUCAUGUUGUCUGUAUUUGUCCAUUUGAGCAUUAUAUGCUGCU